GCAUCCUCCUUACCCUCCCCCUCUGUCUCGCUCUCUCUCACUUUCUCUCUCUCUCUCUCUCUCUAUGGCUCUCGCUCUCUUUGUAGGUAUUUCCCUUGCUGAUGUUGUCCAUUGAGAGCCAGUGAUUGUCUGUGGGUGAGAGCAGAGGAGAAGAGUGGAGCCGAUUACUGCAAUGCAGAGCAACCAAACAACAUCCCGGCGCUGCAGCAGACGCAGAUGUGUGUCUGCAUGUGUGCUCGAAUAAAUGACACAGCAGUGGAGGAAGAGCGAGAGGCAAUCUAAGCCACAGAGGCCCACAGGCGUUUGAAGUCUAAAGACGCUUUCAUCCUCGACUCUUGGAAAUGAAUGAUUUUUUUCACACAGUGACAGGACAGCUCUGACAGGACCCAAACACAUGAACCAUAGCAAAGCUGUCAGAUAGUCAAACACACAUACACAUACACAGAACGAGUCCAGAACAGAAAGUGUUGCAGAAAUCAGGCGUUCACGGGCAGAGGAUGUGAGAAUGAAACGUUAAAAAGUGAGGAAAAGAGAGAGAAUAGAACGGAGAAAAUGAUGCUAUAAUUAGUCGUUUGUUGCUUUAACUGGCAUUUAGUUUUAACUGGGCUUCUUUGUCUGUAGACACAAUGGGGCUGAUGUGGCAUGAGUGAACUACACAGUUUAGAGGAUUAAGGCUGGACUGAGGCUGUGGUGCCGCACUCCCUCUCUCCGUCACGCACACACAAACAGACUCUCAACUAGCUCCACAAACACCCUGCUUCACACACUUUCUUAAACACACACCUACAAACAAAGGCACACCCUACACACACACACACACACACACACACACACACACACCAACGCGCCCACAGGGGGAUUAUCUGUGCAACAGAGUUCUGAACACUGAGAGUGAGGAGGCGUCUGAAGAACUGCACUCAUCACCGAAGGAUGGAAAGAGCCCAGCAGAAACAAA